rnacentral:rRNA from 1 species
GUCCACGCCGUAAACGAUGAUAACUAGCUGUCCGGGCACUUGGUGCCUGGGUGGCGCAGCUAACGCAUUAAGUUAUCCGCCUGGGGAGUACGGUCGCAAGAUUAAAAACUCAAAAGGAAUUGACGGGGGCCUGCACAAGCGGUGGAGCAUGUGGUUUAAAUUCGAAGCAACGCGCAGAACCUUACCAGCCUUUGACAUCCCGCGCUACUUCCAGAGAUGGAAGGUUCCCUUCGGGACGCGGUGACAGGUGCUGCAUGGCUGUCGU